AUUGAACGCUGGCGGCAUGCCUUACACAUGCAAGUCGAACGGUAACAGGUCCUCGGAUGCUGACGAGUGGCGAACGGGUGAGUAAUACAUCGGAACGUGCCUAGUAGUGGGGGAUAACUACUCGAAAGAGUGGCUAAUACCGCAUGAGAUCUACGGAUGAAAGCAGGGGAUCGCAAGACCUUGUGCUACUAGAGCGGCCGAUGGCAGAUUAGGUAGUUGGUGGGAUAAAAGCUUACCAAGCCGACGAUCUGCAGCUGGUCUGAGAGGACGAUCAGCCACACUGGGACUGAGACACGGCCCAGACUCCUACGGGAGGCAGCAGUGGGGAAUUUUGGACAAUGGGCGCAAGCCUGAUCCAGCAAUGCCGCGUGCAGGAUGAAGGCCUUCGGGUUGUAAACUGCUUUUGUACGGAACGAAAAGCCCCGGGUUAAUACCCUGGGGUCAUGACGGUACCGUAAGAAUAAGCACCGGCUAACUACGUGCCAGCCGCCGCGGUAA
rnacentral:rRNA from 1 species